rnacentral:rRNA from 1 species
CAUCCCCUACGGGAGGCAGCAGUGAGGAAUAUUGGUCAAUGGGCUAAGGCCUGAACCAGCCAAGUCGCGUGAGGGAAGACGGUCCUAUGGAUUGUAAACCUCUUUUGUCGGGGAGCAACGAGGCCACGUGUGGCCGAAGUGAGAGUGCCCGAAGAAAAAACAUCGGCUAACUCCGUGCCAGCAGCCGCGGUAAUACGGAGGAUGCGAGCGUUAUCCGGAUUUAUUGGGUUUAAAGGGUGCGUAGGCGGGCUUUUAAGUCAGCGGUAAAAAUUCGGGGCUCAACCCCGUCCGGCCGUUGAAACUGG